CCUACGGGUGGCAGCAGUGAGGAAUAUUGCUCAAUGGCCGGAAGGCUGAACCAGCCAUGCCGCGUGAAGGUCAGUGCCUUAUGGGCGUUAAACUCCUUUUGUGCGGGAGCAAUAUUGGUCACGUGUGGCCAGACGAGAGUACCGUACGAAUAAGCAUCGGCUAACUCCGUGCAAGCAGCCGCGCUAAUACGGGGGAUGCAAGCGUUAUCCGGAGUGAAUGGGUUGAAAGGGUGCGUAGGCUGUGCGGUAAGUCAGCGGUGAAAUGCCCCCGCUCAACGGGGUGAAGUGCCAUUGAUACUGCCAUGCUAGAAUGCGGAUGCCGUGGGAGGAAUGUGUGGUGUAGCGGUGAAAUGCGUAGAUAUCA
rnacentral:rRNA from 1 species